rnacentral:rRNA from 1 species
UGGGGAAUUUUGGACAAUGGGCGAAAGCCUGAUCCAGCAAUGCCGCGUGUGUGAAGAAGGCCUUCGGGUUGUAAAGCACUUUUGCCCGGAAAGAAAUCCUCUGGGUUAAUACCUCGGGGGGAUGACGGUACCGGAAGAAUAAGCACCGGCUAACUACGUGCCAGCAGCCGCGGUAAUACGUAGGGUGCAAGCGUUAAUCGGAAUUACUGGGCGUAAAGCGUGCGCAGGCGGUUUUGUAAGACGGAUGUGAAAUCCCCGGGCUUAACCUGGGAACUGCAUUCGUGACUGCAAGGCUAGAGUAUGGCAGGGAGGGGUAAUUCCACGUGUAGGCAGUGAAAUGCGUAGAGAUGUGGAGGAAUACCGAUGGCGAAGGCAGCCCCCUGGGCCAAUACUGACGCUCAUGCACGAAAGCGUGGGGAGCAAACAGGAUUAGAUACCCUGGUAGUCCACGCCCUAAACGAUGUCAACUAGUUGUUGGGGAUUCAUUUCCUUAGUAACGUAGCUAACGCGUGAAGUUGACCGCCUGGGGAGUACGGUCGC